rnacentral:rRNA from 1 species
AUUGAACGCUGGCGGCAGGCCUAACACAUGCAAGUCGAGCGGAUGAAGGGAGCUUGCUCCUGGAUUCAGCGGCGGACGGGUGAGUAAUGCCUAGGAAUCUGCCUGUCAGUGGGGGAUAACGUCCGGAAACGGGCGCUAAUACCGCAUACGUCCUGAGGGAGAAAGUGGGGGAUCUUCGGACCUCACGCUAUCAGAUGAGCCUAGGUGGGAUUAGCUAGUUGGCGGGGUAAAGGCCUACCAAGGCGACGAUCCGUAACUGGUCUGAGAGGAUGAUCAGUCACACUGGAACUGAGACACGGUCCAGACUCCUACGGGAGGCAGCAGUGGGGAAUAUUGGACAAUGGGCGAAAGCCUGGUCCAGCCAUGCCGCGUGUGUGAAGAAGGUCUUCGGAUUGUAAAGCACUUUUGGUUGGGAGGAAGGGCAGUAAGUUAAUACCUUGCUGUUUUGACGUUACCAAAAGAAUAAGCACCGGCUAACUUCGUG